UGUCCUCCUGAGCAGCUGCAGAGGCUGCUGGGAAAUGUUGUCUGUGUAAUUAUAUACUGUAUAUAAGCGCAGUGUCGGACUGGGGCAAGAAGGGCCCACCGGGGAAAUGUAGUGGUAGGGGCCCAUGCUUAAGGAUGUGGCCAGGCAAUAGUGGAGGUGUGGCCAACCACCACAGAGGCCCACCUAACAUCUCUGCGCAGCCCAGGACUUACUCAGCCGCUGUUAUCACAGCAGCCUGUCCAGGACCGGAAUUGACGUCAGGAACCCUCCCUGCAAACACAUGGACACGCCUGAGUUUUUCCAGACACUCCCUGAAAACGACAGCCAUGAAACAGAAGGAUCUCUCUCUCUCUCUGUGUCUCUUUAGCAAUGCAUGACAAAUCUGAAGACACAGUUGCAGUUUAUAAUGUGGCAAUAUAACAUGUGCUGAAGUUUACUGCAUUACACACUUCAGAUAGAUGUAUGACACUCCACUGUGGAGAGGAUUAUCUACAAAGAGUCAGUAAGUGGGUGAGGGGAUCCUCGUACAGGGAGCUAUAACAUGGGAUUAUUACAAAAUCAGCUUUCAUGUGUUUUAAGACUUGCUAAGGGCUACCCGGUCUGAAGGUGAACUGUAACCUGUCGACAUUCGUCAUCACAAUGUUGACAUCAGAAUGUUGACAUUGAUCAAAAUGUCGAUAGCCAACGAUGGACAUCCUGAAAAUGUCGACAGCUAAACUGCAUACUUGACUAUUCUCCCGAAAGUUACGGGAGACUCAUGCUUUUUCUGGUAGCACCCCCAGAAGAGUAGGUGGAUCUUCUGCAUCUUGUCCAAUUGCUAGUGAAGCGGGAAGGAUGGGGAGAUAAUAAUGGGAAUCGCAGCGCCGUAUGGAGUGGCCAGGGCUAAAUGAUGUGAAUCGUCUAAAGACAGGAGAGUCUGGCCCUGCCCUAUGCUGUGAUCAGCAGUGUCUCCUCUCUGGACUUCUCAUGGAGAUGAGACACAAAAAGGUGCCAAGUAUGCUGAACUGUUGCUAUGUGAAAUGUCAAGAGUUUGAGGAUGCUGAUGAUUAGAGUUAGGCGCCGCCGGGAGGGGUUAAGGUUGGACUGCUGGAGUGGGGAGGGAAUUAGGGUUAGGCAUAAGGGAGAGGGUGAGAUGACUUCUGGCUUUCCAACUGUUUUGUUGUUGAUUUUAGCCUCUAAUUGACAGAUCAUUCUGGGACUUGUAGUUCUACAACAGCUGGUGAGCCAUAAAUUGCUUAGGUUUUAUCUAAAAUAAUAGGCUAAACAAUGAGACUGUUUACAAAAUGUGAUUAAGUGUUAAAAAUGUACAUAAUAAAUUAUCUUUUCACUCUAUAAUGGACCCUGGUAACUUGAUACAAUGGUUCAGAAUGGUUUUAGUACGAAAUACCUACAAUCAAAAUCCCUACAGUCAAAAUACCAACAACAAAUGACUGACUGGUCAAAAUGCCGACAAGGUCAAAAUAUCGACAGGGUAAAAAAAUACCGACAUGGUAAUAAUACCGACAUUUAAAAUACCAACAA